UACGAGGGGAGCUAGCGUUAUUCGGAAUUACUGGGCGUAAAGCGCACGUAGGCGGCUUUGUAAGUUAGAGGUGAAAGCCCAGAGCUCAACUCUGGAAUAGCCUUUAAGACUGCAUCGCUUGAAUCCAGGAGAGGUGAGUGGAAUUCCGAGUGUAGAGGUGAAAUUCGUAGAUAUUCGGAAGAACACCAGUGGCGAAGGCGGCUCACUGGACUGGUAUUGACGCUGAGGUGCGAAAGCGUGGGGAGCAAACAGG
rnacentral:rRNA from 1 species